GAGGUCCUACGGGAGGCAGCAGUGAGGAAUAUUGGUCAAUGGGCGCGAGCCUGAACCAGCCACGUCGCGUGAGGGAAGACGGUCCUAUGGAUUGUAAACCUCUUUUGCCGGGGAGCAAAAAGCGGUACGUGUACCGCAUCGAGAGUACCCGGAGAAAAAGCAUCGGCUAACUCCGUGCCAGCAGCCGCGGUAAUACGGAGGAUGCGAGCGUUAUCCGGAUUUAUUGGGUUUAAAGGGUGCGCAGGCGGCGAGUUAAGUC
rnacentral:rRNA from 1 species